GAAUUUUAUAUAAAUUUAUUAUUAAGAUUAUAAUAUAUUGUUAGUAGAUUUAUAUUUUAUUGGGAGGAUAGUUAAAUUAAAUAAACUUUAAUAAGAGUAAAGUCAUUAGUGAAUGAUUUAACAAAGAUGAAUGGCUGAUUAGUUUAAGUAGAAUUAAUUACCUUAGGGAUAACAGCGUAAUAUUUUUAGAGAGACCUUAUUGAUAAAAAUGAUUGC
rnacentral:rRNA from 1 species